rnacentral:rRNA from 1 species
UACGUAGGGGUCUAGCGUUGUCCGGAAUUAUUGGGCGUAAAGAGCUCGUAGGUGGUUUGUCGCGUUGUUCGUGAAAACUCACAGCUCAACUGUGGGCGUGCGGGCGAUACGGGCAGACUAGAGUACUGCAGGGGAGACUGGAAUUCCUGGUGUAGCGGUGGAAUGCGCAGAUAUCAGGAGGAACACCGGUGGCGAAGGCGGGUCUCUGGGGCAGUAACUGACGCUGAGGAGCGAAAGCGUGGGGAGCGAACAGG